rnacentral:lncRNA from 1 species
AGGGGGAUAGCUUUGAUUUGGACUGAGUCGAGAGAUUUGGAAGGAAUGAGAGCAGCUGGGUUACGCCAGUGUUCUUGAGAAGAUUUUGCUGGGGUUAAGCCGACGGAUCUCAAUCCGUUGUGAUUCAAAGUUGUAUUAUGUUCUUUUAAAUUCAAUAAAUCAUUGUUUGUGUUUGGGAUUGAGUGUAGAGAGUGAUUGUCAGAGAAUCUGUAUCUAAACUCUAUCAAUUGGUGCGGUGGUCAGCUCGGAUCGAAUCCUAACGCGAGAAAUCAGAUCAUUGCGGUGGUGUUGUAGCUGAUCACCGGUGAUGGUUUGUGCACAUGGAUUUCAUGGUUGGAGGAGUUUCUCGU